ACUCCUACGGGAGGCAGCAGUGGGGAAUUUUGGACAAUGGGCGAAAGCCUGAUCCAGCAAUGCCGCGUGUGUGAAGAAGGCCUUCGGGUUGUAAAGCACUUUUGUCCGGAAAGAAAUCCUUGGCUCUAAUACAGUCGGGGGAUGACGGUACCGGAAGAAUAAGCACCGGCUAACUACGUGCCAGCAGCCGCGGUAAUACGUAGGGUGCGAGCGUUAAUCGGAAUUACUGGGCGUAAAGCGUGCGCAGGCGGUUUGCUAAGACCGAUGUGAAAUCCCCGGGCUCAACCUGGGAACUGCAUUGGUGACUGGCAGGCUAGAGUAUGGCAGAGGGGGGUAGAAUUCCACGUGUAGCAGUGAAAGGCGUAGAGAUGUGGAGGAAUACCGAUGGCGAAGGCAGCCCCCUGGGCCAAUACUGACGCUCAUGCACGAAAGCGUGGGGAGCAAACAGGAUUAGAAACCCUUGUAGUCCCA
rnacentral:rRNA from 1 species